UACAGAGGUCCCAAGCGUUGUUCGGAUUUAUUGGGCGUAAAGGGUGCGUAGGCGGCGCGGUAAGUCGGGUGUGAAAUCUCGGGGCUUAACUCCGAAACUGCAUUCGAUACUGCCGUGCUUGAGGACUGGAGAGGAGACUGGAAUUUACGGUGUAGCGGUGAAAUGCGUAGAUAUCGGGAGGAACACCAGCGGCGAAGGCGGCCAUCUGGACAGAUAUUGACGCUGAUGUGCGAAAGCGUGGGGAGCAAACAGG
rnacentral:rRNA from 1 species